rnacentral:rRNA from 1 species
UAAGGAAUAUUGGUCAAUGGAGGCAACUCUGAACCAGCCAUGCCGCGUGAAGGAUUAAGGCCCUCUGGGUUGUAAACUUCUUUUAUAUGGGAAGAAAUGUUCUGAUUCUUCAGAGCUUGACGGUACCAUAGGAAUAAGCACCGGCUAACUCCGUGCCAGCAGCCGCGGUAAUACGGAGGGUGCAAGCGUUAUCCGGAUUCACUGGGUUUAAAGGGUGCGUAGGUGGGCAGAUAAGUCAGUGGUGAAAUCUUCCGGCUUAACCGGGAAACUGCCGUUGAUACUAUUUGUCUUGAAUAUUGCGGAGGUAAGCGGAAUAUGUCAUGUAGCGGUGAAAUGCUUAGAUAUGACAUAGAACACCAAUUGCGAAGGCAGCUUACUACACAAUCAUUGACACUGAGGCACGAAAGCGUGGGUAG